AUGAACAUUGCCCUCCUGACUCGAUGGCUCUGGCGGAUCGCCAAUGGUGAUGGUGGUCUGUGGCUUCACAUUAUCCGGAAUAAGUAUCUCCGUGGCCAGCCGCUUGCUUUCUGCCAACGGUCCGGAGGCUCCCAGUUCUGGCAGUCCAUCAUCCAGUUGCUUCCGGUCCUCCGCAUCGGAUCCUCCAUCUCCAUGGGAACGGGCACAAACACCCUCUUCUGGUUCGCUAGGUGGGCUGGCGAUGCCCCCUUCGUGGCUCGCUUCUCGGACUUGUUCUCUAUCGCGGUAGACCCUCAGGUCUCCGUUGAGGCGGCCCUUAUUGAUUUACGGCGCUUCGCAUUCCGUCGGCCUUUUGGGCCUCUAGAACUUCUAGCCUGGAAAGAGAUCCGAGACAACAUUGCUCUCCAUGAGCCGGACCUCGACUCGCCACAUGACCGCUUAUCCUGGCACCUAGAGCCUUCGGGCAGAUUCUCCACGAAGUCGCUAUAGCGGGCCAUCGUGCCCACACCCAGACCGGCGCCCCUAGAACAGAUUUGGUCGAUCGGGCUUCCCCUGAAGACCAGAAUCUUCUUAUGGCAAUGGAUCCGCGGGUGCGUCCCCUCCGGUGUGGAGGUGUUAAAACGUAACGGCCCGGGUGAUGGGACAUGCCCUUUGUGUGGGUUUGAAGAAGACUCGAAUCGUAUUUUCUUAUCGUGCAUUUCCGCCCAGUUUCUCUGGAGCUGCCUGAGGGAGGUGAUUGGUGGCUAUUGGUGCAACACCAACUUCCCCGACCUCUUCGCUGAGAUUCAGGCAUUGCCUCCUCCGGGCCGCCACAUUAGGUGGCUGAUCAUUGGAGUGCUUGCGUGGACUCUUUGGACGGUUCAGAAUAAGCUUGUGAUCCAGCGUGUCCCUCUUCAACGUGCUACUGACGCGGUGUUCAAAAUGUGUGGCUACUUGCAGCUUUGGCGGCCGCUUAGCCGUCUCCAGGACCGGGAUGCCAUCAACAUCAUAAUUGCCCACCAUCGUGCGAUGGCUCUACGCUUGGCGCCGCCGCUCCCUCUGCCACCAGCUGAGCUAGACUAG
rnacentral:rRNA from 1 species